UUUCUCUUUCUGUCUUUCUUUUUUCUCUUCUGUGUGUAUUUGUGAUGGAGCCCCAGCUCUGCCCCUAACAGUCAGAUCUGUGGUUGGGUCGUCUGAUGACUGUUCACACAGACUGGUAAGCUCUGUUACUAUUGUUACCUAAUCAUUGUCUCCAACUAAACACACUAUCUAACCACACAUAUAUACUUUAACCAGUCUUGCUAAGCACAGAUUCCUCUUUCUAUUGUUCUUUUUCUUCUUUUGCGUGUAUUUGUGACUGAGCACCAGCUCUGCAGUGAACAGUCAGAUCUGUGGUUGGGUCAUCUGAAGACUGUUCACAAAACUGGUAAGCUCUGUUUACAUUGUUACAUAUUCAGUCUCUUUAACUAAACAAACUCUUUAACUGCACAUAUACUGUAACCACAGUCUUGCUAAUCAAAGAUUUCUCUUUCUAUCUGUCUUUUUUUUCUUCUGUGUGUAUUUGUGAUGGAGCACCAGCUCUGCAGUUAACAGACAUGUGGUUGGGAUCAAUGAUGACUGCUCACACAGACUGGGUAAACUCUGUUAACAUUGUUACCUAAUCAGACUCUCCAACAGACUCAUAUAUAGUCUACCCAGUCUCACUAAACACAUAUUCCUCUUUCUAUCGUUCUUUUUUUUCUUCUGUGUGUAUUUGUGACGGAGCCCCAGCUCUGUACUUAUCUGUCAGAUCUGUGGUUGGGUCGUCUGAUGACUGUUCACACAGACUGGUAAGCUGUGUUACCACUGUUACCUAAUCAGACUGUCCAACUAAACAAACUCUCUAACCACACAUAUACUUUAACUAGUCUCACUAACCACAGAUUUCACUGCUCUGCAGUGAACAGUCAGAAUUGUGGUUGGGUCAUCUGACGACUGUUUACAGACUGGUAAGCUCUGUUAUUAUGAUUACCUAAUCAGUCUUUUCAACUAAACAGACUCUGUAACUACACAUAUACUCUAACCAGUCUUGCUAAGCACAGAUUUAUCUUUCUAUUGUUCUUUUUCUUCUUUUGUGUGUAUUUGUGACUGAGCACCAGCUCUUCAGUGAACAGUCAAAUCUGUGGUUGGGUCGUCUGAUGACUGUUCUCAAAACUGGUAAGCUCUGUUUACAUUGUUACAUAUUCAGUCUCUUUAACUAAACAAACUCUUUAACUGCAAAUAUACUGUAACCAGUCUCGCUAAUCAAAGAUUUCUCUUCUGUGUGUAUUUGUGAUGGAGCACCAGCUCUGCAUAUAACAGACAUGUAGUUGGGACCAAUGAUGACUGCUCACACAGACUGGUUCUGCAGUGAACAGUCAGAUCUGUGGAGAGAUCAGCUUAUCAAAACAAUUCCACGGUGAAUGCAUGCUGCAAUUAAAGCUAAAG